UAAUACAGAGGCCUCGAGCGUUAGGCGGAAUCACUGGGCUUAAAGCGUGUGUAGGCGGAGUGCUAAGUACCUUGUGAAAUCCCACAGCUCAACUGUGGAAUUGCUUGGUAUACUGGCAUUCUUGAGCCAUCUAGGGGCGAGCGGAACAAAUGGUGGAGCGGUGAAAUGCGUAGAUAUCAUUUGGAACGCCAACGGUGAAAACAGCUCGCUGGGGAUGUGCUGACGC
rnacentral:rRNA from 1 species